rnacentral:rRNA from 1 species
CCUACGGGUGGCUGCAGUCGAGAAUCAUUCACAAUGGGGGAAACUCUGAUGGUGCGAUGCCGCGUGGGGGAAUGAAGGUCUUUGGAUUGUAAACCCCUGUCAUGUGGGAGCAAAUUACAAAGAUAGUACCACAAGGGGAAGAGACGGCUAAAUCUGUGCCAGCAGCCGCGGUAAUACAGAGGCUUCAAGCGUUGUUCGGAAUCACUGGGCGUAAAGCGUGCGUAGGCUGUUUCGUAAGUCGUGUGUGAAAGGCGCGGGCUCAACGCGCGGACGGCACAUGAUACUGUGGGGCUAGAGUGAAGUUGGGGGAGGCGGAAUGCACGGUGUAGCAGUGAAAUGCGUAGAUAUC